AGAGCUUGAAAACUUGGAAGAGACACUGAAUGAUAGCAUCAGGGAAAGCCUUGGGGCUCGUUCUGGGAUCCGAUCACGUGGUAAGAAGGGAGGAGGAAUGGAAGACGAGGAAGAACUUUUAAGUGAUGAUGAUGACUUCUAUGACCGCACGAAGAAGCCUUCAAAUAAAAAAACUAGCGAAAGUCAAUCAAUUGAAACUGCUGAUUCUCUACUUGAUAAGAGAGAUGCCAUCAA
rnacentral:misc_RNA from 1 species